rnacentral:lncRNA from 1 species
UUCCCUUAACUGUACAUUGUUUGUUUUUAUAAAAUUCCAAAUUUUGGUCUUUAUUUAAAGCAAUGUAUAUUUUUAGCCUAUUAACCGCCCGAUAAUGCUAACUCCAUACUGAACUGCUCAAUAUCUUAUCGAUUGGCUAGCGGAUCAGUACAUUUAAAGCUGAUAACCGAUAAGCCGAAUUGUUAAGCGUAAAUAUACACUAGAUCCACACGAUAAGCAACCCUACUUUUAAGUAGCAUGAUUAUGUAAAAAUUCUUUGCUUAUAGCAUAAUGGAGCGUCUUUGUAUAUAAUUUAAAUUCAAUUAGUAGUAAACUCUGGGAUCUUGGCAUAAUUAAUACCAUUGCAUGAAGAUCUCGCUGAGAAAUUGAAAUUGAUUCACCAAUUUCAGCAAAUCAAAGGCCGAAAAUAGCAGUUGUUAGUGUUAGUAUUUUAAGCAAAAAUUAAACUCAUUCAUCACCCGGCCCCUUUUCGACCAAUUAACAGACAAACGUCUACUACGACCUGAGCUAAAAGUCAUGGCAGUAGUUUCAGAUUCCUCGCUAGCGCUAUACUGCCGUUUCAACUUCCCUUGCCCUUUGCAUUACUAAAAUUCUAUUGGAUUUAACUUACCAAUUAUAUAAAUUUGAAAAAUGUAUGUUUUUAGCCUUUUCCAAAAAUAAUAACUCACUAAUUUUUUUUUUGGUAAUAUAUGUAUUAUAUACAUAAUAUAUAUAUAUAUAUAUUUUAUAUACAUUUUGACUAGUAAAUUCAAUUAGUUUCGGUCGGCCGACCAAUUAUGUAUUUUUCCCAAAAAUUUGUCACAGUAGGUUCAUUCUAAAUUCUAAUGUACAUCAUAUAUUAGUUUAAUUAGCCACCUUAUCAUCUAAUUGUGCUAUACCAAGAAGAAAUUCUUCUUUCUUGAGUCAUAAGUUGAGAUAAUGCACGAAAUUUAAUCCAAUAAUCCCAUGAUUUCAAUACUAAGUUACUCGUCGCUUAAGUAAGAAAGUCAUCUACAAAAGGUAAAAAAAGAGUGAAAGAGAGCUCUAGUAAUAAUUCUCUUUCGACAUAGAAGAAGUUUUACACUAGCAAUAUAUUUUCAUUAAGUUUUAUUGUCACGACCCAAGUUCUCCCUCCGUGAACUGUCGCGACGGCACCUAGUCUUUACGACUAGGUAAGCCUAACAAUUGCGGAAAAAGAAAAUAAAGAUACGAAACUAGCAAUUUACGAGUAACAUAAUAAAGAAGUUUAAAAUGCCGCUCGGCAUAUACAAUAACACUCUCUCAAACGGAACACAAAGCACUUCCAAAACCCGAAAUCUCAUGAAAUCACAAGCUACAUAAGUACAUAGUGUAUCUAAUCUCCAGAAAGUCUAACAACGAAGAAAAAUACAGGAAGUCUAUAACUAAAAGAGGAAUAGAGAGGGACUUCUAGGUCUGCGGACGCGGCAGAUAUACUUAGAAGUCUCUGGAUCGCCUCGCCUCACUAGAAGUAUGGCUAAGAAAUAGAACCUGGAUCUGCACAUGGAAAAUAUGUGCAGGAAAGGUCAUGGGUACACCACAACGGUACUCAGCAAAUGCUAAACCUAACCUCAGUCGAGUAGUGACGAGGAAGGUCAGGACCCUACUGGUUAUGUAUAUAAAACAAGGUACAACAGUAUGAAAUGUGACAGUAUAGUUAAAAUACUAAUAGUCGAGUAAGAAUAAAAUCACAGAAAAAAUAUAACUAAGUAUACAGUGAUAGCAACAGGGGAUCUCCUGGGAUAUCGUCCCUUAGUCCCAAACGUAAAUGUGUAGAGGAUCUCCCGGGAUAUCGUCCCGUAGUCCAAAUCAUAAAUAUGUAGGGGAAUCUCCCAGAAUAUCGAUCUGUAGUCCCAAAGUAAUUAUCCAAUACAGGGGGAAUCUCCGGGGCAUCGUCUCGUAGUCCCAAUUAUAAAUGUGCAGGGGUAUCUCCCGGAAUACCGAUCCGUAGUCCCAAAGUAAACACACAACAGUCUCAAGAAAGAAUCCUACAAUUCUAUUCAAGUUCAUAUCAGGAAAAUAGGAAAUUUCUACCCUAAACAUGCUACACAAAAUCCAAGUAAGCAGUUAAAGCAGGUAAGACAGUUAAGUCACAUAAGCAUGCUUUCCUAAGCUAAACAGGAGGCUUCAUAUACUAGUAUUGCUCAGUUAAAAGAAAACAUAGAUAUUUACUUAAUGAAAACAAGGAUUUUCAAUAAUUAGCACAUGUACGCACUCGUCAUCUCACGUAUAACAACAGUACCAAAAUCCAAAGGGGGGUUCCCCCCCAAGGUUAGGCAAGCCACUUAUCUCGAACCAGCUCAAAAUCAAUCUGAUAUCACGCUCUUUCCAUGAGUAUCCAACUCCGAGUGGUCCAAAUCUAAACAAAUUAAUUACAUAAUGUAAAUAAAACUACAAGCAACUAAUUUAACUAAUGUAUUCAAAGCUAUAGCAAGAAAUUAGAAAAACGCCCAAAAAUCCUCCUCGGGCCCACGUCUCGGAAUCGAGUAUUAGUUAAAAUUUUAGAACACCCAUUUACUCACGAGACCACUGGUCCAAAAAUCACUCAAUUGCGACAGCUAAAACCCAAUCAAAACCCAAAAACUUGGUUGGGGAACUUUUCCCCCAAAUCCCCAUUCUUCCACUCAAAUUCAUAGAUUAAAUGAGGAAAAUAAUACUCCAUCUGUUCCAAUUUAUGUGAACCUAUUUCUUUUUUGGUCCAUUCCAAAAAGAAUAAUCCCUUUUUAAAUUUGGUAACAAUUUAGCUUAAACUUCCAAUUCUACCCUUAAUGAGCAGCUUUUAUAAGCACACAAAUACUCU